AGCGGCGGACGGGUGAGUAACACGUGGGCAACCUGCCUAUGGAUCUGGGAUAACAGCGCGAAAGUGUUGCUAAUACCGGAUAAGCCCCCACCUUCACAUGAAGGAGAGGGAAAAGGCGAAAGCCGACCAUAGAUGGGCCCGCGUCCCAUUAGCUAGUUGGUAGGGUAACGGCCUACCAAGGCGACGAUGGGUAGCCGGCCUGAGAGGGUGAACGGCCACACUGGAACUGAGAUACGGUCCAGACUCCUACGGGAGGCAGCAGUAGGGAAUAUUGGGCAAUGGGCGAAAGCCUGACCCAGCGACGCCGCGUGAGCGAUGAAGGCCUUCGGGUCGUAAAGCUCUGUCUUCGGGGAUGAAGAAGUGACAGUACCCGAGGAGGAAGCCCCGGCUAACUACGUGCCAGCAGCCGCGGUAAUAC
rnacentral:rRNA from 1 species